CGAACCCAGGGCCUUGCGCUUCCUAGGUAAGCACUCUACCACUGAGCUAAAUCCCCAGCCCCGAGAUGGCCUCACUUAAAAAAGGCCCAAAUUGCUUAAAAGAUAAAGGACAAUGGCACACUUGAGGGGAAAGCUAUACCCCCCCCCAAAAAACAAACAAAAGACUCACUUUGCCAAAUUAAGAAUUUUAGACUCAUUUAAGAGAUAAGAAGUUUGUCCAAAUAGUUAAAAUAUAUAUAGUAGACUUUAAGAUUUUAGCCAAGAGAGACAGUAAAAAAGUAUAAGAUACGUCAGUAAGUAAAUGCUUAACAAACAAACAGGACAAAGAGACCUAGAGAGUUUAACGAAAAGUUAAAGUGAACUUCACUGAGAUAAAACCAGAAAAAUAUAAUCACAAGUAUCUCCGAGUGCUUGUAGAUACCUUUUCAGGAAUAGAUAGAAGCUUUCCUCACCAAACGAGAGACGGCCUCUACAAUCAUCAAGAAGAUACUGGAAGAAAUCUUCCCCAGGUCUGGAAUGCCCAAGGUAAUCUGGUCUGACAGCGGCCCUACUUUCGUUGCCAAGGCUAAAAGACCUACAGGUGAUACAGAAAGAAAUCUGCUCACAGCUGACAGCAGCCUAUGCCCCGGAGAACCCUGAGACAUCCCAUCAGUUCCAGGUCGGAAGCAGCUACACUGAGCCCAGACACUCGAGCCUUGCUGGAAAGGACCGUACCUGGUGCUGCUGACCACCCUGACAGCCGUCAAUUCUCAGCCCUCACCAGCCGUGUACUAGCUGUUAGGGCUGAGAGCUGGGACCUAGAGGGAAAUUCAGUCAUGUUUGUCCUGGGUUCCAUUGAGAUAGGUGUGGGGAUAGGCUUGAUUUCUAUUACAAAUGAUAUAACAUUACAUAUGUUAGUACUCCUAACACUUCUUGGGACUGUGCCUCAGGGAUCACAACCUAUAUAAGUUUAGAAAUUCUAAAAGACAGUCAUGACCUUGGUGUAUAGGUUCAGAUAGUGUCCAGAUAGAAUCCUGAUGCUAAAGACUUUUUAGCUGACCUCCAAGAAUACCUAACCUCCCUCUCAGAGGUAGUCCUUCAAAAUAAAAAAAGGGUCAAACCUGAUAUUCCUUAAAGAAGGAGCCUGUGUGCUACACUGAAAGAAUGUUGCUUCUAUACAGACCAUUCAGGAAUAAUUAAAGACUCCAUAAAUAAACUUAGAAAAAGGUUAGACAAAAGACAGACAGAAAAACACAUAAGAGAUGGUUCGAGAGCUAGUUUAGUAGAUCUCCCUAGAUGACUACCCUACUCUCUGCUACAGCUGGGCCAUUAUUAAUAAUUUUCUUGUUUUUAGUUUUUGGCCCCUGCGUGACAAACAGGUUAAUUGCUUUUGUUAAAAAUCGAGUGGGUGCGGGGCUGGGGAUUUAGCUCAGUGGUAGAGCGCUUGCCUAGGAAGCGCAAGGUCCUGGGUUCGGUCCCCAGCUUUGAAAAAAAGAACCAAAAAAAAAAAAAAAAAUCCAGUGGGUGCUGUGCGGUUGAUGGUUCUGAGAAAACAGUACCAGUCAGUUAGGACAACUGGUGAGACCAAAUACGAGAUUUGAUAUCAAAAUUCUAAGAUUAGAAUUAUUUAGUAGGAGAAGAUGGGAAUGAAAAGAGAAUUAUACAAAUUCUAGGUUUAGAAAUAUAAAAAUUAAAAGAAUAAACCCCAAAAGGCCACAGACCCAGGGCUAAGCCCUGCAGCCAGGACUAGCAGGCCAUAAAGAUAAAGGAGCACAGGAAACACUGUCCAGGCAGGACUGACAAGCCAUAAAGAAAAGGAAUGCAGGAACCAGCCUGAGUUAAUGGGACUGAUUCAUGAGACGUCUGGCAAGAAGACAUCUCCCCCCAGCUCACUCAGGGCCAUCCUCCAGACCCUGAUAAGCC
ensembl:lncRNA